CAGUCGCCGCGGGAAUACGUAGGUGGCGAGCGUUGUCCGGAUUUAUUGGGCGUAAAGGGAGUGUAGGCGGUCUUUUAAGUCUGAUGUGAAAGCCCACGGCUCAACCGUGGAGGGUCAUUGGAAACUGGGAGACUUGAGUGCAGAAGAGGAGAGCGGAAUUCCAUGUGUAGUGGUGAAAUGCGUAGAUAUAUGGAGGAACACCAGUGGCGAAGGCGGCUCUCUGGUCUGUAACUGACGCUGAGGCUCGAAAGCGUGGGGAGCAAACAGGAUUAGAUACCCCUGUAGUCCCUGUCUCUUAUAC
rnacentral:rRNA from 1 species